GGUAAUAGAACAAUCGAUGUAAUCACAAAGUUGGAUAUAAUGGACAGAGGUACUGAUGCCCGAAAUUUGUUACUAGGAAAAGUUAUUCCUCUCCGACUUGGUUAUGUAGGUGUUGUAAACCGUAGUCAGGAGGAUAUCCAAAUGAACCGGAGUAUAAAGGAUGCUCUUGUUGCUGAAGAGAAUUUUUUCCACAAUCGUCCUAUAAGGAAGUUCUUAUGCAUAGUUAACAGUCUAGUUUUUUUUUGCUUAUAUUUACUUAUUUUUUUAUCUAUUUAUGUUAUUCAUAGGCAUACAAUGGUUUAGCAAUAGUUGUGGUGUUCCUCAACUAGCAAAGAAGUUGAACCAGGUAGAGUCUUCAUGACGCUGAAAACACAAAAUAGUCUUCUGUAAGAAAUUUUACAGUUUUAUUUAGGGCUUUCAGUCUCCCUUACUCAUACAGAGUUAAAGUCCGCUUAUGUCUUCACACUUUUUCCUUCUUUUCUUUACACUAUAUAACUUUUUCAUAGUAAAGGCAUAUCAUGUUAACAUUGGAGAGCGAAAAUUUAUAUAGUUUUUGGACAGAACCAAAUUCUUCCAAAUCCUGUGAAAGAUUAAACCAUUAUGAAUUCAUAACAGGAUCAAGGUUUCUGGACUAGUGCAUGCCAAUAUGGCAUGUGCAUUUGCCUGUUCAUAUUUUUGCAGAUUCUGACACAACAUAUAAAGGCUGUGCUACCUGGGCUGAGAGCACAUAUAAGCACUUCACUAGUUGCUGUUGUGAAGGAGCAUGCAAGCUAUGGAGAAAUCACCGAGUCCAAGGCAUGUGUUAA